rnacentral:rRNA from 1 species
AUUGAACGCUGGCGGCAGGCUUAACACAUGCAAGUCGAGCGGAGCGGCGGACGGGUGCGUAAUGCUUAGGAAUCUGCCUAUUAGUGGGGGACAACAUCUCGAAAGGGAUGCUAAUACCGCAUACUAAUAGAUGCGCCUAAGUCGGAUUAGCUUGUUGGUGGGGUAAAGGCCUAACAGGGCGACGAUCUGUAGCGGGUCUGAGAGGAUGAUCCGCCACAAGGGGACUGGGACCCGGCCCAAACUCCUACGGGAGGCAGCAGGGGGGAAUAUUGGACCAUGGGGGGAACCCUGAUCCAGCCAUGCCGGGGGUGUGAAGAAGGCCUUAUGGUUGUAAAGCACUUUAAGCGAGGAGGCGUUACUCGCAGAAUAAGCACCGGCUAACUCUGUGCCAGCAGCCGCGGUAAUAC